rnacentral:rRNA from 1 species
AGAGUUUGAUCCUGGCUCAGGAUGAACGCUAGCGGCAGGCUUAACACAUGCAAGUCGAGGGGCAGCACGGGUAGCAAUACUUGGUGGCGACCGGCGCAAGGGUGCGUAACGCGUGAGCAACAUGCCCGUAUCAGGGGGAUAAUCCAUGGAAACGUGGUCUAAUACCCCAUAGUAAGUUUUUGGGGCAUCUCAAAGAUUUUAAAGCUUUGGUGGAUACGGAUUGGCUCGCGUGACAUUAGCUAGAUGGUAAGGUAACGGCUUACCAUGGCUACGAUGUCUAGGGGUUCUGAGAGGAAGGUCCCCCACACUGGAACUGAGACACGGUCCAGACUCCUACGGGAGGCAGCAGUGAGGAAUAUUGGACAAUGGAUGGAAAUCUGAUCCAGCCAUGCCGCGUGCAGGAAGACGGCCCUAUGGGUUGUAAACUGCUUUUGUAUGGGAGCAAUAAGGGCUACGUGUAGUCCGAUGAGAGUACCAUACGAAUAAGCACCGGCUAACCCCGUGCCAGCAGCCGCGGUAAUACGGAGGGUGCAAGCGUUAUCCGGAUUUAUUGGGUUUAAAGGGUGCGUAGGCGGUUUGAUAAGUCAGCGGUGAAAUAUUUCAGCUUAACUGGAAGGGUGCCGUUGAUACUGUCGAGCUUGAAUUUAGUUGCUGUGGGUGGAAUGUGUGGUGUAGCGGUGAAAUGCAUAGAUAUCACACAGAAUAUCGAUUGCGAAGGCAGCUCACAAAGCUAAUAUUGACGCUGAUGCACGAAAGUGUGGGGAUCAAACAGGAUUAGAUACCCUGGUAGUCG